AACUGCGUCUAUUGCAUCAAGUUUGUCCUCACAAUUUAAAAUAAUGUAAACAAUCAUCAUCAUCAGUAAGCAUCGUUUCAAUGGUUGACAAUAUGAGUUUUAUUUCCACCAGCCUGCAACAAACUUCACAUAGAUACAUGAGUUUUAUAAGCCUUGCAGUUGGCUUGUUAAGAUCCUCUCCUUUUGCCAUGGUAAAAUCAUGCAAAUUUUUCUUUUUACUCUGCAAAAGGAAAACAGCAUUGGAAUGUUCAACAGUGCUGUCAGUGCUUGAAAGCAAGCUUAUACAUAUUGUAAAAUUGCAGUCCAAGGAACACUGUCCACUCAUAUAACAUCAUAUCAUUCAUAUAAGGUGUUGUUCUGAGUUCUCUAUAGCUUCUAACAAUUACAGUGACUUGCUUUGCUCUAAUUAAUAAAGUCGGUAUAACUCACAGGGUUGAAAAAACAGUUGUGAAUUGUUGAUGUAUUUCAAAAGGCAGAGACAACUAUAUGUGCAGAGUAAUAGAGUAUGUGCAACAAUAGUACAAAAAGUGGUAUGUGCAGAAUAUGUACAGCAAAAAAGGAAGUUCUGAUUUGAUCGAAAAGUCGGUGGCUCAUCUCUUGUAAUGGUGGCAUCCAAUAUAUUUCCGACUGUAAUGGUUUGUCCAUCUAUAUUAGUAUACACUCAGCUACAGCAUUUGAGUCUUAAACACUUGAAUGGAUUUCUUUAGUCCCUUAGAUAAGUAAAAUUUAAAUGGAAUCUAUCAUACAUGGUAUCUGCAGUUUUAUAGAAUUUAAAAAAGCGCACCUCGACAUGGCACAUUUGUAGAGCUUUGUGUAAGCAAGAACAGAGAGAACAGUUGGAGCUAUGUUCUAGGUUAUAAGGAUCUUGAGACCAUUGCUGGUUGUUGUACGGAAAAGAGCGACAUAGAACUGGUCCCUAAAGACCGGUCUCAUGCUAAGCAAAACCACUGGAAAUCACAUGCUCCAUUCUGCAGUUACAAAGAAAACUAAUACACAUCCAAAGAGCAAAGUCAACAACAAAGAAGAGCAUGCAACGUGAGUCUCCAACAGAUGCAAUUGUGACAGUUGACCCAUCAAUAACCACAAAUGUAAUGGAGGUUUCUGAAAUUUCUCCUGAAAAUAGAAAGACCAAAGGAGUUCGAAUUUUAAAACACCUGUUUUUGUCAUAACGACACGACUAAGACCUCUCCACCACUGCAAGCAAUGUUCAAGGUAACGCCUGAAGCCAUAAAAAAUUGCAUCCUUUAUAUGUAAGUUUUUUUUUUUAAAAAUUGCAGCAGCGUUUCCACUGUGCACAUAACAAAUAGUACCCAUAUCAUUGAGUAUAUACAAUACUUAAGAACCAAGUUGUAUACAAAAAGAAAGAAUGAAACUUGAGAUGUUAUAAAAGUUUAAUCUAGCUUAAUCUAUAAAACCUGCAGUUUUGUAGACGACAGUUAUUGCUGAGGCAUCAGAAAGGUUAAAAUGAGAAUGAGAGAGAGAAUUUAAAUCACCUAUUAAUAAGCAAUAAAGGAUGCGAGAAAGGUAGCUGGAGUUUUUAGUAGGCACAUGUUCCAUUCUGCAGUUACAAAGAAAGUCAAUGCAUUUUAAGAAGAGUACCAUUUUGUAGUUGGAAAUCGGAAACACAUGUAACUGAGUAACUCCACUAAAGUUGUAGUUGGGAAUCGGAAAUGCAACAUGAGUUUCCAACAGAUGCAACUGUGACAGUUCACUCAUCAUUUAUCAGCAACAGUAAAAGGGUUAUUGUGUAUAAUCCUUUUUGAAAUUUCCAUCCACUAAGCAGUUUAGAAAUUGUAGUGAUAUAAUACCAAUAUAUAGAACCGACUAACCAGCAGUACUAAAUCAACUUCUUGAAAUAAAAGAUGGAAACCGCAAUUGAUUAUCAGAAGAAAGCUUGAAUACAAGGAAAUUAACUGAAGAUGAAAACUGAACUUUAUUACUCAAAGAUAACAAAAGAAAAACUUGACAGACUUAUAUCUCAAACUGAAACAAAAGACACAUAUUUAUACUGCUCCUUCCUCAACUAGCAGAAAACACUAUACCAUGACUUGGACAUAAGUUAGACUCACUACUCCAUAACCUUAUUCAACUGACCACUAGAUAAACAGACUCCUAAAUAAACUCAAGACCAAAUCAAAUAUAUAAAACAUAUAAGUUGCUCUAAGGACUACAAUAUUAUAGUAGGCUGCACUAAUUUGUAACACUUCUGAGUCCAUCUACUGUCUUUUGGAGAUCCUAUCCGUAUGAGUACAAUGAAGUUGUCAACUGUAAUUUUAGUGCCUCGAAUUAAAGCAAGAGUAGAUACAAUUAGUUUUGUUUAUAGAAUCUGAUGACAGUUUCUGUCAAAUACUGUACAUUCAUAUGUCCAGGAAUUUUUGUACUUGUUUGUUUUAUUCUUCCAGUUAAAUGAGUUCAUCAAAUGCAACUCAUCUAAAAACAUUCAUUAUGUGUCAACAGAAAAUUGUAUAAAAAAAAAACCAGUGAACAUAAAAUGAUAUUCGGCUAUUCGCCAACAUCAAAAAUUGCAAAGGGCAUGACGAAAAGUCAAUAACUAACCUUCUUCGAUGAAGAUGGAAAGCCCAUAAUCGAGAAUCCUCUGAACGGUUUAUUGGCAAGAAAUUCUCAGAAGAAAAAGGGGACUUAAUUUCGGGA
rnacentral:lncRNA from 1 species